UCGGGUGACGAGCGGCGGACGGGUGAGUAAUGUCUGGGAAACUGCCUGAUGGAGGGGGAUAACUACUGGAAACGGUAGCUAAUACCGCAUAACGUCGCAAGACCAAAGUGGGGGACCUUCGGGCCUCAUGCCAUCAGAUGUGCCCAGAUGGGAUUAGCUAGUAGGUGGGGUAAUGGCUCACCUAGGCGACGAUCCCUAGCUGGUCUGAGAGGAUGACCAGCCACACUGGAACUGAGACACGGUCCAGACUCCUACGGGAGGCAGCAGUGGGGAAUAUUGCACAAUGGGCGCAAGCCUGAUGCAGCCAUGCCGCGUGUAUGAAGAAGGCCUUCGGGUUGUAAAGUACUUUCAGCGAGGAGGAAGGCGUUAAGGUUAAUAACCUUGGCGAUUGACGUUACUCGCAGAAGAAGCACCGGCUAACUCCGUGCCAGCAGCCGCGGUAAUACGGAGGGUGCAAGCGUUAAUCGGAAUUACUGGGCGUAAAGCGCACGCAGGCGGUCUGUCAAGUCGGAUGUGAAAUCCCCGGGCUCAACCUGGGAACUGCAUUCGAAACUGGCAGGCUAGAGUCUUGUAGAGGGGGGUAGAAUUCCAGGUGUAGCGGUGAAAUGCGUAGAGAUCUGGAGGAAUACCGGUGGCGAAGGCGGCCCCCUGGACAAAGACUGACGCUCAGGUGCGAAAGCGUGGGGAGCAAACAGGAUUAGAUACCCUGGUAGUCCACGCCGUAAACGAUGUCGACUUGGAGGUUGUGCCCUUGAGGCGUGGCUUCCGGAGCUAACGCGUUAAGUCGACCGCCUGGGGAGUACGGCCGCAAGGUUAAAACUCAAAUGAAUUGACGGGGGCCCGCACAAGCGGUGGAGCAUGUGGUUUAAUUCGAUGCAACGCGAAGAACCUUACCUACUCUUGACAUCCAGAGAACUUAGCAGAGAUGCUUUGGUGCCUUCGGGAACUCUGAGACAGGUGCUGCAUGGCUGUCGUCAGCUCGUGUUGUGAAAUGUUGGGUUAAGUCCCGCAACGAGCGCAACCCUUAUCCUUUGUUGCCAGCGGUCCGGCCGGGAACUCAAAGGAGACUGCCAGUGAUAAACUGGAGGAAGGUGGGGAUGACGUCAAGUCAUCAUGGCCCUUACGAGUAGGGCUACACACGUGCUACAAUGGCAUAUACAAAGAGAAGCGACCUCGCGAGAGCAAGCGGACCUCAUAAAGUAUGUCGUAGUCCGGAUUGGAGUCUGCAACUCGACUCCAUGAAGUCGGAAUCGCUAGUAAUCGUAGAUCAGAAUGCUACGGUGAAUACGUUCCCGGGCCUUGUACACACCGCCCGUCACACCAUGGGAGUGGGUUGCAAAAGAAGUAGGUAGCUUAACCUUCGGGAGGGCGCUUACCACUUUGUGAUUCAUGACUGGGGUGAAGUCGUAACAAGGUAACCGUAGGGGAACCUGCGGUUGGA
rnacentral:rRNA from 1 species